UUUGACCUGAAAUCAGGUAGGGCUACCCGCUGAACUUAAGCAUAUC
rnacentral:rRNA from 2 species